rnacentral:rRNA from 1 species
AACGAACGCUGGCGGCAGGCCUAACACAUGCAAGUCGAACGCGUGUAGCAAUACACGAGUGGCGCACGGGUGAGUAACACGUGGGAAUCAACCCAGAGGUUCGGAAUAACCGCGGGAAACUGCGGCUAAUACCGGAUAUCCCCUACGGGGGAAAGAUUUAUCGCCUUUGGACGAGCCCGCGUCCGAUUAGCUAGUUGGUGAGGUAACGGCUCACCAAGGCUACGAUCGGUAGCUGGUCUGAGAGGAUGACCAGCCACACUGGAACUGAGAUACGGUACAGACUCCUACGGGAGGCAGCAGUGGGGAAUAUUGGGCAAUGGAGGAAACUCGGAACCAGCCAUGCCGCGUGGGUGGCGAAGGUCUUCGGAUUGUAAAGCCCUUUCGGCGGGGACGAUGAUGACGGUACCCGCAGAAGAAGCCCCGGCUAACUUCGUGCCAGCCGCCGCGGUAACAC